UGCGUUCUCCCCAGAGGUGAAGAACUUGAAGUAGGUGCAGUUGGAUUCUGUGGGUACAAACAGAAGAUAAGACAAAGACACACACACACAUACACACACACACACACCUCUGCGUGCACACACACACAUACGUCUCAUACCACUGCACAUAAGGUGCAGCCAGAGACAGCGAGAGACAGCAAAACGUUAGGAUGAAUAGCAGAGAGGAGUAAGAGAGGAAGACUGAGAGAAUGGUGCGUAUUGUGACAAGGAGACGUGUGGCGGCAGAGGGAAAGAAAACAAGAAGAAGAGUUCAAAGGAUGGGAUAUAAGCGAAUAUGGAGGAGUGCGUUUCAGGCAGAUGGAGGGGUGGUGAAUGAAGGCAAGGAUAGAGGAGAGCCACAGAUGGAGAAGGAGGUGAAGGGAGGAGGAUAAGUCAGGAGGGAGAGAAAACACAGAGGGGUUGGUUAAUACUGCAUUAGACACACACUCUCUCUCUCUCUCUCUCUCUCUCUGUCUCUCUGUCUGUCUGUAUGUCUGUCCCUCUUCCUUGCCCCCCCCUCCCACUCUCUAUAUUUAGACAAAAACUGUGAAGUAGUCAGAUUCCACUUGGCUUCACAGGCGCAUAGUGAUGAUUUUAACCCACAGAAAAAAAA